UCCCUGUAGCGCAAUGGAUAGCGCGUUGGGUUUCUAAUUAAAAGUGGUAAGUUCGAAUUGCCCUUGGGAG